rnacentral:rRNA from 1 species
GUCAGCCUGCCAGUGACUCUGUUCAACGGCCGCGGUAUCCUAACCGUGCGAAGGUAGCGUAAUCACUUGUUCUUUAAAUAAGGACUAGUAUGAAUGGCACCACGAGGGUUAUACUGUCUCCCCCCUUUAAUCAGUGAAACUAAUCUCCCCGUGAAGAAGCGGGGAUACUUCCAUAAGACGAGAAGACCCUAUGGAGCUUUAAACUAACUCUUAAUUACCAUCCCCCUACUAAGCUACUGCAAAUAACAGUCAAUCUGGUUUUAUAGGAGCUAGUUUUGGGUUGGGGUGACCACGGAGUAAAAAAUAACCUCCGAGCUGCAAGGGGUAUUUCCCUUGAGCCACAAGCUACAACUUUAAGCACCAAUAAAUUGAUUGACCCAAUAUUUUGAUCAACGAACCAAGUUACCCUAGGGAUAACAGCGCAAUCCGUUUCAAGAGCCCCUAUCGACAAACGGGUUUACGACCUCGAUGUUGGAUCAGGGUAUCCCGGUGGUGCAGCCGCUACCAAAGGUUCGUUUGUUCAACGAUUAAAACCCUACGUGAUCUGA